rnacentral:lncRNA from 1 species
GUUUUCCUACGUAACAAACCUGCACAUCCUGCACAUGUAUCCUGGAACUUAAAAUAAAAUAAAAUAAAAUUUUUAAAAAGAAUAAAUAAAUAGCAGCCUAGUCCAAAGACGUUUACAUCCUGGAAGAGAACUUGCUGGCUUUUCACCUCAGCAUGUAUGGGCCAAACUAAUAUAACAAGAAGUCUUGAGAGGAGUCAGCGGCCAAGCUCCAUGUCUUGCAGCCAAACAAUGCUGUGGGAUGGAAGGUGGGAUGUCAUGUGUCUGGUUUACAGCACUCACGUAUCAGUUGGCAGUUAACGGAAGUGCUACUGAUUGUAACAGUGGAAGCAAUUUGAAAUGAAAUACAACACUUAAAGCAAAUGAAACGGAAGUGAAUGCCAGCAGUAAAUGGCAAGAAGAAAUCCAGUUCAGUGUGUUCCUCAGAAAUCUUGCCUCUUGGGACUAAAUGCUGCAAAUGUAACUCUUAUCCUUGUUUUUCAAGUUUUACCAUCUCAAAGCUAUCCACUUUAUAUUAAAUUAGUUCUGUUAUAUUAUGUCAAUUUGUAUUCUUAAGAGCACAAGUUUGGCCUCAAAUAGACCUGAGCUGAGAUCCAA